AGAGUUUGAUCCUGGCUCAGAUUGAACGCUGGCGGCAUGCCUUACACAUGCAAGUCGAACGGCAGCACGGAGCUUGCUCUGGUGGCGAGUGGCGAACGGGUGAGUAAUAUAUCGGAACGUACCCUGGAGUGGGGGAUAACGUAGCGAAAGUUACGCUAAUACCGCAUACGAUCUAAGGAUGAAAGUGGGGGAUCGCAAGACCUCAUGCUCGUGGAGCGGCCGAUAUCUGAUUAGCUAGUUGGUAGGGUAAAAGCCUACCAAGGCAUCGAUCAGUAGCUGGUCUGAGAGGACGACCAGCCACACUGGAACUGAGACACGGUCCAGACUCCUACGGGAGGCAGCAGUGGGGAAUUUUGGACAAUGGGCGAAAGCCUGAUCCAGCAAUGCCGCGUGAGUGAAGAAGGCCUUCGGGUUGUAAAGCUCUUUUGUCAGGGAAGAAACGGUGAGAGCUAAUAUCUCUUGCUAAUGACGGUACCUGAAGAAUAAGCACCGGCUAACUACGUGCCAGCAGCCGCGGUAAUACGUAGGGUGCAAGCGUUAAUCGGAAUUACUGGGCGUAAAGCGUGCGCAGGCGGUUUUGUAAGUCUGAUGUGAAAUCCCCGGGCUCAACCUGGGAAUUGCAUUGGAGACUGCAAGGCUAGAAUCUGGCAGAGGGGGGUAGAAUUCCACGUGUAGCAGUGAAAUGCGUAGAUAUGUGGAGGAACACCGAUGGCGAAGGCAGCCCCCUGGGUCAAGAUUGACGCUCAUGCACGAAAGCGUGGGGAGCAAACAGGAUUAGAUACCCUGGUAGUCC
rnacentral:rRNA from 1 species